rnacentral:sRNA from 1 species
UAUUAGCCCCGAUAGCAGUGGAAAUCCUUUUGUGUUUUUUUUCAAACACAAAAGAUUGCAACGGAUAGCGGGAAUAGCU